ACAGUUGACAUUCAAUAUUACUUUAUAUUGGUUUCAGGGGUACAGCAUAGUGGUUAAACAAUCAUGUAAUUUACAGAGUGAUUCCCCUGAUAUUUGUGGUACCCACCUGGCACCAUACAUAGUUGUUAUUAUAAUAUUACUGACUACAUUCCCUA